rnacentral:rRNA from 1 species
CACGUAGGGCGCAAGCGUUGUCCGGAAUUAUUGGGCGUAAAGAGCUCGUAGGCGGUUCGGUAAGUUGGGUGUGAAACCUCCAGGCUCAACCUGGAGACGCCACCCGAUACUGCUGUGACUAGAGUCCGGUAGGGGAGCGUGGAAUUCCUGGUGUAGCGGUGAAAUGCGCAGAUAUCAGGAGGAACACCAGCGGCGAAGGCGGCGCUCUGGGCCGGAACUGACGCUGAGGAGCGAAAGCGUGGGUAGCAAACAGG